UACGGAGGAUCCGAGCGUUAUCCGGAUUUAUUGGGUUUAAAGGGUGCGUAGGCGGGUUUUUAAGUCAGUGGUGAAAGUUUGCAGCUCAACUGUAAAAUUGCCAUUGAAACUGAAGACCUUGAGUGUAAAUGAGGUAGGCGGAAUGUGUUGUGUAGCGGUGAAAUGCUUAGAUAUGACACAGAACACCGAUUGCGAAGGCAGCUUACUAAGAUACAACUGACGCUGAGGCACGAAAGCGUGGGGAUCGAACAGG
rnacentral:rRNA from 1 species